AGAGAUGCCUUUUGAAGAAAUCUGUCUCAGCAGUGUCAGUCACCCCUGUGUACCCAACAAAGAAAGGUCUUGGAGUGCAAGGAACCUUGAAAUGAGUGGAUCAUUGAAGUGGUCUUCACUUCAGCCUCUACAAAUGCACCAUGUUGCUUUGAUGAAGGAUGCUACAUGUUGACCUGAUUUGCCUCACAGACUGCUUGUGCUUUUCAAGGACUCUGAAAGCGGGGCUCCUAAUCUGUCACAUGGGAU